ACAUUCUUAUCAAUAAUCUAAUUUCCAGAAGGACAUACAGAUAAAAUUAGACAUCAUAAUAACCUGCAGCCCACUGACAAAUACUUGAAGCAGGAAGAGAGUAACAUUCCUCCAGGAAGGUCCUAACUGUGUUAAUGCUUUGCUAAACAUUAAGAAAAACAGCUUUAGCUCGACAAUAGGAAGGCCGCUGGUUUCCCGGAAGUCUUCUUUAGCAUAUGAAAAUCCUUUUGGAACUUCCCUUAUCUUUACCUCCGGCCCAUCCCAAAGUAUAAAAUCCGUCACUCCUUAACAACCCAGGUGCGCCUGGUCUUUUCCCCUGUGAGUCCUGACCCUAUGCUUUAAGAAAACCACCAUCUUGCACCAAAGACAUCUCAAGAAAACUUCUUGGUGGUUCCCGAUCUCACCCUGCCAAACCUCAUUACAUCCAAAAACCACAUCAGUGUUGAUGGCUGAGUCAGGACAAAGGCAAGGAAAAUGGUCAGAGGAAGACGAACAUGCGAGGUACUGUUCUAGGAGGUGGGGUAUGUAAUGGUGGAAGAGGACAGAGAAAUUAUUUGUUUUUAUGAAGAUGGCAUUCUGAUUGGUGCAUGAGAGAGAACUCUCUAAUAUCCAUUCUUUGCUUCUCUCCAACAGUAAGAAAAUGUGGAGUUGUAACUGAGCACAUGGUUACCCAGGAGAUAGGCCACCUUUCAGCCUUUCUUGCAGGCCCUGAAUUGCCUAUUGAG